UGUACAAGUAAAGUUUGCUGGUUUGCCAGGGCAGGUCCAGGUGUCUUGCUGCCCUGGCAAACCAGCAAACUUUACUUGUACAUAUAUCC